AAAGGUGUUUUGAGGAGUUCGCAAAGACACGACUUUUGAGAGCUUUGAAACCCAGCACUGUUUGUCCACAUAUGUAGAAAGUGACUGCAGCUCUGCCUCCAACAUGAGUCAACAUAGAGACUCUGCUGGAAGACAUGGAGAUACAAG